rnacentral:tRNA from 1 species
GCCCGCAUAUCUCAGUCGGUAGAGCAUCAGACUUUUAAUCUGAGGGUCGCGGGUUCGAGUUCCUCUGCGGGCG